UCCUUCGGGUUGUAAGUUGGGCCGACAAAGGACGAAAAAUGGUACGCUGCGGUCGGAACAAUCUGUCGACGGUCGGCCGAUCCGAUGACCUGACGGAGACAAUUACAAUAAACGGCGGAACUUGUGACUUUUUAGACAAGUUUUCGUGGAGAAACCAGCUGUGACGGUGGAGGGAGGUUGCUGCCGUGUGCGACGACACGUGUCACUCAGGUGGCCCAGUCCCCGCCUUCGGUGGUUUCAAAUAUUUGCCACGUUUUUUCCUCUCUCUGUUUAAAACUGCUUUUCGUUCUCAUUUUCUCUCUCUAAUCGGAAAAUGGAAAGGAAAGCGGAUGCGGUUAGUGAUUCAAAAGCCUCUGCCGCUUCCGAAGUAAUUUCGUUUUUUCUUCGUGAGAUUAUUUGGUACCAGAAGCAGCGGCGAUUGUGUGCGCCGUCGUCAUGAGCGGCAGAAUACGGCCAUGCACGAUCGUUCUGAGAGAGAAACAUGAGCAUGUUCUCUAAUCGAUCUUCUCGCGCAGUUCUUCGGGGAAAUAGCUUGCGAAUUUCCUUCGGUGCUUAUAUGAAGGAAAAGUUUGUGCUCCCAAACUGUUGCAAGAAAAUGGAAAUUUCUUGUGGUUCUAGUGGUUUUUAUUUUAUAAUUGUUUAUUAUUCCGUCCGUUGGGGAUAUUUGUUUUCCUUUUGUCGCUUUCCGAAGGUCUCGAAAGCAGAUUGGAGAGCGAGGGCUCAAUCUCAUUAUACGGUGGGCGGUGGAUAAAGCUGAGGAGAUGCUGCCGCCGCAGCGAGGACAGUAGAAAAAAGUUGAAAUUGCUGCAGCAGCUGCUGUUGCUGGUGUGGAAAAGACAUCAAAAUUCAAAAGAAGUAUGCUCUCGAAAGGUCAGAAUGACUUCUAAUAAAGCUGAAAAUGCAUUAAUAUGAUGGUUGCCUGUCAGAACACAGCAGUAGUGCCGCUUGGUAAAGUUGAAGCAUCCCCAUUUUUUGAAGCCUAACCCCAUUUCACAAACUUCCCAGCUUAUCUCCAACACUCUGGAGAGUACCAGACGCCCUAGAGACCUUAGGUAUGGGCUAUUGAUUUCAGCAAACUAUAUGGAGCAAUGCCAUUGAUGGAAGCAUUCAAAAGCUUGUCGUCUGGAGACCGCUUUAGAUGAUUCAUUGACGUAAUUAAAAGAGGUCCCGGGCUCCAUUAUUGGACUGGUGAAACAUGUUUAGAUCUUCACUUGAAGACUCGUCCGGAGCUCCAUUGCUUCCUCCAAAUGCCAUCAUCGAAGAAAUUGGAACUGCCGGCAAUUGAUGGUGG